GUGCAAUGGCCGGGAGUUACUUUUCUUCAUGAUUGGCAUACCUACCCAAAGUGGGAACCUCAGAACUUGGCAAGGACUGUGCCAACUUUGGGACCUGAUGGAGUAGACCUUCUCACGAAAAUGCUCUAGUAUAAUCCUGUUGAGAGAAUCUCUGCCAAGGCAGCACUUGAUCAUCCUUACUUUGACAGUCUUGACAAGUCUCAGUUUUAACAGCAGAUACUGUCCAAUGCUUUUGUGCAGAUGUUG